UGCCCUACGGGGGGCAGCAGUGAGGAAUAUUGGUCAAUGGGCUUACGCCUGAACCAGCCAAGUCGCGUGAGGGAAGACUGCCCUAUGGGUUGUAAACCUCUUUUGUCAGGGAGCAAUUGGCGCUACGUGUAGCGUUAUCGAGAGUACCUGAAGAAAAAGCAUCGGCUAAAUACGUGCCAGCAGCCGCGGUAAUACGUAUGGAGCAAGCGUUAUCCGGAUUUACUGGGUGUAAAGGGAGCGCAGACGGCAAGGCAAGUCUGAUGUGAAAGUCCGAGGUUCAACCUCGGGACUGCAUUGGAUACUGU
rnacentral:rRNA from 1 species